GGUCCUGACGCCACAACGCAUCUCCAGGCAGCCCGCCCCCCUCGCAACAUCCGUCACCUGACCCGGCCAUAUCAGGAACCGCCACGGUCCGGCUCGCGUCCCUGCUUCCCUGUCCCCCUCCCUUUAUUCCUCGCGCCCCUCGCUGGCGAGGGGGGCGGGGGGUCCUCCCUUUCUUCAAACCGGAUUAUUUAUAAAACAAAAAGAAAGGGGGAAAAAAAACGCGAAGUCAUCUCCUGGCUCUAUCCGCCAUUCAGGAGGCUGGAUGUCAGUUUUUGAAAGAAAUGGCGCUACGCUCCACUUCUAGAUUUGGGAAACGAGCGGAAUUAAAGGAAACUGCUGCGACAUCUGGACACUGCGUGGCGCUGGCGCCGCUGGAGCGGCGGGCCCCGCGCCGGACCAGGGCUCCCUCAGACUUUCCUGACCAUCCAGGCUCCAUGCUGAGGCUGCUUGCCACCCUUGUGUGACAAUGAAUGCGCUUUCUCGUUCUUCACAAGGUGAGAAGACUGAGGCCUAGACGGACUAAAAUCUUGGAUACUUUAUGACCUGCAAGUGCCAAGGCUGGAAUCAUUAAGAAAGUCUUUGGACUAAAAUCCUUGUGCCCUUUCUGUUGUUCUACAGGCUAGAGUCAACAGGAAGUGAGCUUUUGAUGGGUCAUUUUUGGCCUAAAAAUGAACUUUGUAGAUUUGAGUGUUUGAAUGGAGGAAAAUGAUUUUUUACUUUUAAAAAUGAUUUCUAUUUUGGAUCAGCAAAUUCAUUCCACAGGCAGAGAUAGGAGUGGGCAUUUUACUAAUGAUUUGUCUGUACCAUCCAACUCUACUACCUCCAGCCAUGAUGUCCUAGAGACAGCUAGCUUUUUCCCUCAGGUAUCUCUUAAUAUCAAAAUUCUGUAAGAAAUUUUCCUAAUAUUGCACAUGCUCAAACUAAAAAUCCCAAAGGUGUAAGACACAGGAUACUAUAAGUAAGAUUUUAAAACUAUUAUUUGAACAUAUAUACAAAAGAUUAACUCUUAGAAUAUAU